ensembl:misc_RNA Metazoa_SRP Metazoan signal recognition particle RNA
GCUGGGUGCAGUGGCACAUGCCUGUACUCCCAGCAACUCAGUAGGUUGAGAUGGGAGGAUCGCUUGAGGCCGGCAAUUCUGGGAUAUAGUACAGUAUGCUGAUCGAGUGUCCACACUAAGUUCAGCAUCAAUAUGGUGACCCGUCAGGAGCAGGGAACCACCAGGUUGCCUAAGGAGGGGUGAACGGGCCCAGGUUGAAAAUGGAGCAGGUCAAAACUUCUGUGCUGAUGAGUAAUGAGAUUACACUUGUGAAUAGCCACUGCACUCCAACCAGGGCAACAUAGUGAGACACCAUCUCUU